rfam:Salmo salar isolate Sally breed double haploid chromosome ssa15, whole genome shotgun sequence.
UUCACGCAUGAAUGUAAGUCGCUUUGGACAAAAGCAUCUGCAAAAUUGUAUAUA